UGAGGAAUUUUGCACAAUGGGGGAAACCCUGAUGCAGCGACGCCGCGUGAGUGACGAAGGUCUUCGGAUCGUAAAGCUCUGUCAGCAGGGAAGAAAUGUAUCAUGGCUAAUAUCCAUGGUACUUGACGGUACCUGCAAAGGAAGCACCGGCUAACUCCGUGCCAGCAGCCGCGGUAAUACGGAGGGUGCGAGCGUUGUUCGGAUUUACUGGGCGUAAAGGGCGCGUAGGCGGUUUUAUAAGCCAGAUGUGAAAGCCCACGGCUCAACCGUGGAAGUGCAUCUGGAACUGUAAGACUUGAGUACUGGAGGGGAGUGUGGAAUUCCCGGUGUAGAGGUGAAAUUCGUAGAUAUCGGGAGGAAUACCGGUGGCGAAGGCGACACUCUGGACAGAUACUGACGCUGAGGCGCGAAAGCGUGGGGAGCAAACAGG
rnacentral:rRNA from 1 species